GGCCUGGACUGAUUUGGGUUUAAGGUGUCGGGGUGUUCUUGUGCUUUUGUCGGUUUCGGUAACUUUUACGAUCUUACUUUACUACGCUGCUUUAGAACAUGUUUUUUUAACAGCACUGUAAAAAGUCAGGCUUUUUCUUUUCCAACAAUGUUUUUUCCUCUCGUCAUACAACAGCAGGUCGACAAGAGAAAGGAUCGACAACGAACAACUGCUCUGGAUCCCAGAGAGGAGAACGGUCCCGCGCCCAGCGCCACGGCCAGCGGACCCGGAGGGAGAAGAGAGUUCCAGCCGUGCUGGGCAGUUCUUAAGAAGUGGAACACCUACUUUGCAGUGAGCGGUCGGACCCGGACGGCCACCUUCACGUUGGCCAUGGCGUCCUCCGACCAGGGCGUGUGAUGAUCCCGGCUCUGGUAACUAUCCAUGUGGACGCAUGAUUGUGUUUUUAACUUCACGCCUUUCCAUUAAAACGAGGUCCAAAACGG